rnacentral:tRNA from 1 species
UCCCUGGUGGUCCAGUGGCGAAGACUCUAUGCUUCUACUUUAGGGGGCAUGGGUUCAAUCCCUAGUCAGGGAA